AUGACGGUACCGGAAGAAGAAGCACCGGCUAACUACGUGCCAGCAGCCGCGGUAAGUACGUAGGGUGCGAGCGUUAAUCGGAUUACUGGGCGUAAAGCGUGCGCAGGCGGUUAUGUAAGACAGAUGUGAAAUCCCCGGGCUCAACCUGGGAACUGCGUUUGUGACUGCAUAACUAGAGUACGGCAGAGGGAGGUGGAAUUCCGCGUGUAGCAGUGAAAUGCGUAGAUAUGCGGAGGAACACCGAUGGCGAAGGCAGCCUCCUGGGCCAGUACUGACGCUCAUGCACGAAAGCGUGGGGAGCAAACAGGAUUAGAUACCCUGGUAGUCCACGCCCUAAAACGAUGUCAACUAGUUGUUCGGUGAGGAGACUCAUUGAGUAACGCAGCUAACGCGUGAAGUUGACCGCCUGGGGAGUACGGCCGCAAGGUUAAAAACUUAAAGGAAUUGACGGAAGGGCACCACCAGGAGUGGAAUCUGCGGCUUAAUUUGACUCAACGCGGG
rnacentral:rRNA from 1 species